rnacentral:misc_RNA from 1 species
AACAUCGCGCACCUGCGGGAACCUGCGGAAGGAUCAUUACCGAGUUAUACAACUCAUCAACCCCUGUGAACUUACCUACAACGUUGCUUCGGCGGGAACAGACGGCCCCGUAAAACGGGCCGCCCCCGCCAGAGGACCCCUAACUCUGUUUUUAUAAUGUUUUUCUGAGUAAACAAGCAAAUAAAUUAAAACUUUUAACAAUGGAUCU